rnacentral:rRNA from 1 species
UACGAAGGGGGCCAGCGUUGUUCGGAAUUACUGGGCGUAAAGCGCACGUAGGCGGAUCGUUAAGUCGGGGGUGAAAUCCUGGAGCUCAACUCCAGAACUGCCUUCGAUACUGGCGAUCUUGAGUCCGGAAGAGGUGAGUGGAACUCCUAGUGUAGAGGUGGAAUUCGUAGAUAUUAGGAAAAACACCAGUGGCGAAGGCGGCUCACUGGUCCGGUACUGACGCUGAGGUGCGAAAGCGUGGGGAGCAAACAGG